CUAAGAAUAUUCCGCAAUGGACGAAAGUCUGACGGAGCGACGCCGCGUGGAUGAAGAAGGCCGCAAGGUUGUAAAAUCCUUUUGCUGGGGAAGAAUAAGUCCAGGAGGGAAUGCCUGGAUGAUGACAUGAACCGGCGAAUAAGCCCCGGCCAACUACGUGCCAGCAGCCGCGGUAACACGUAGGGGGCAAGCGUUGUUCGGAAUUACUGGGCGUAAAGGGCAUGUAGGCGGUUUAGUAAGCUUGGCGUGAAAGACCACAGCUCAACUGUGGGGUUGCGUUGAGAACUGCUGAACUUGAGUUACGGAGAGGGAGCUAGAAUUCCUGGUGUAGGGGUGGAAUCUGUAGAGAUCAGGAAGAAUACCGAUGGCGAAGGCAAGGUUCGGGCCGGUAACUGACGCUGAGGUGCGAAAGUGUGGUGAUCAAACU
rnacentral:rRNA from 1 species